CGUAAGGCGCCGAAUGAGUCAUUAAAAAAUUAACAUCAUCCGAUCCCUAGUCGGCAUAGUUUAUGGUUAAGACUACGACGGUAUCUGAUCGUCUUCGAUCCCCUAACUUUCGUUCUUGAUUAAUGAAAACAUCCUUGGCAAAUGCUUUCGCAGUAGUUAGUCUUCAAUAAAUCCAAAGAAUUUCACCUCUGACAAUUGAAUACUAAUGCCCCCAACUAUCCCUAUUAAUCAUUACGUCGAUCCUAGAAACCAACAAAAUAGAAUCAAACAUCCUAUUUCAUUAUUCCAUGCUAAUGUAUUCAAGCGUGAGCCUGCUUUAAACACUU
rnacentral:rRNA from 1 species